ACGUAGGGGGCAAGCGUUAUCCGGAAUUACUGGGUGUAAAGGGAGCGUAGGCGGCACGCCAAGCCAGAUGUGAAAGCCCGAGGCUUAACCUCGUGGAUUGCAUUUGGAACUGGCGAGCUAGAGUACAGGAGAGGAAAGUGGAAUUCCUAGUGUAGCGGUGAAAUGCGUAGAUAUUAGGAAGAACACCAGUGGCGAAGGCGGCUUUCUGGACUGAAACUGACGCUGAGGCUCGAAAGCGUGGGGAGCAAACAG
rnacentral:rRNA from 1 species